AGACAGUGAUGCUGAUUGCCACACGGCAGCACCCACCUCUCAUCUCCUAGAGUCUUAUCACAAGAAAUACCUCAGGAAGCAGGUUUUGAGCCAGAAAACGAAGAAGGAUUCAUACACCGAGUCACCGCUUGAAUCAAGUACAACUCUAGCACUAGUUGAUGUCCACAACUAGAAAGCUGAAGAUCUGGGGCCAGUGGAAAAUGUAGGCUUUGAAGAAAAAAACAGUGAAGCAAAAUAGCCUGAAAUUGCGGAUCAUCAUUGUUGCUAUCAAGAAAAAAUGAAGUCCUGAAGAGAGUUCAAGCAGUGAUGAGCUAUCCCACCGUAAUUACCACAACUCCCAGCAGGGUCCUUCUCAUGUGAUUAACACCACAGCAGGACAGCUGUCCUAGGAUGUGUCUAUUUGCCAGUCACUGAAAUAAAGCAAAGGUGCCAACUCAGACACGCAAAGGUUUUCAUUGACUCUUAAAAUGCCCUAUCUUUACAGCUAUAUUUCAUAACUUCAUGCAUGCUAAUUGCUGAAAUAUGAUGGGAUAAAGGUCUAACAAAGAGGAAGAAAGACUGCAAGUGAUAAAUUUAUACAGUAUAAAAACAAUUUUCUGGAGAAAAAAAGAAGUAUUAUUUCACCUAAAAAGCAGAAGAAACAUACUAAGUGGUAGAAAUAAAUUUUUCAGAACUUAAAUUUCUUACUAUUCCUGCAUUUAAAUAAAAGGUAAGGUUUUUUCAUUUGUAAGUUGGUAUUGGAUGGACAUCAAACAAUAAAAAGUUCACUAGUGACUUCUGUAGAUGGCUUAAGUUAUGAAUAAUUUACUGUGUUAAGGAAGGCCUGACUUCUCACUCAGUGAUUAUUAAGUGAGAUCUUCAAAGCUACUCAAUCACUUUCAAGUUUUCUUCACAUAGUGUUAUUUAAGUUUUAUUUUUACUUCACCCAACUCUACUCUAACCUACUUUUGAGAAAGAGUUUCCUUUCUACCAUCUCUCUGGAGAGAAGGUAAUUUCUUUUCUAUUGGUUUUAAGCCUGAUUUGACAAAGGUGAAUGAAGCUCUUACCUAUCUUUGAUAUUCUGUGUAUCAUGAAGCAUGGUAGUCAUUCAGGAGACUCCACAAUGACCUACAGUAUGCAAUGCAAUGUCCUAGUAAAACUGCAACAUACCCACUAUCUAAUAAACUCAUCACAUACUGUGAUGACAUUACAAUUCUUUUUUGCAUGAUAUUAAAAAUAAUCCUCGUAACUUCGUUCUUUCAGAACUUUUUAACAGGUUAUUGAUUCUUCUUCAAAGAAUUAAUCAAUUAAAAUUCAUAUACAAGCAGCUGUAUUUGUUAUUUUGUCAAUAAAAUUUAAUAUACUUUAAUUCUGAAAUUGAAAUUAACUUUUUAUAAUGGCACAUACUGUAAAUUUCAGUCCAAUAUAAUUUGAUAGAACAUUAUUUCAUUAGGUCUCUAAUUAAAAUGAGCUUAUAUAACCUCAAGGAGUCUUUUGCAAAUAUCUGACUACUGUGAUAGAGUUUAAAAGAACUGAAGUGUCAAAAGUAUUUGAUAUAUUUUCAGCAUUGAAAAGUUUUCAGUGGCUAUAGAAGUUAUUCAUGUUCCACUUGGGCUGAGUUGAUGGAUUUUUGAAAAAGGAAAAAAAAGAUCCUUCAUUUGUCAAAAUUGUUUGGCUGAGAUCUUUCCCUAAGCAAAAUGAUUGAAAAAGUUAUGCUGAACAACCUAUCAAACUCUCAGAUUCCUUAAGAAAUAAUUUGAGGGUUGGCCUGUUAAGAGUAUCUACUAAAUGAAAGUGAGAGGUUGAGACACUGCAUUCCUCCUUAGAAAAGAGAAUAACCAGGUAUUCCAUUUUCCUUCCAUUUUUUGUUCUAGUUUUCUGUAUUCUCUUAGUGUGAUUCUGAACUAUGUCCCAAUAAGACGACUGACACUCUCUAUGAAACUAUUAAAGUGAAUUAUAC
ensembl:lncRNA